rnacentral:rRNA from 1 species
AACGAACGCUGGCGGCAGGCUUAACACAUGCAAGUCGAGCGCCCCGCAAGGGGAGUGGCAGACGGGUGAGUAACGCGUGGGAACAUACCCCUUCCUGCGGAAUAGCUCUGGGAAACUGGAAUUAAUACCGCAUACGCCCUACGGGGGAAAGAUUUAUCGGGGAAGGAUUGGCCCGCGUUGGAUUAGCUAGUUGGUGGGGUAAAGGCCUACCAAGGCGACGAUCCAUAGCUGGUCUGAGAGGAUGAUCAGCCACAUUGGGACUGAGACACGGCCCAAACUCCUACGGGAGGCAGCAGUGGGGAAUAUUGGACAAUGGGCGCAAGCCUGAUCCAGCCAUGCCGCGUGAGUGAUGAAGGCCUUAGGGUUGUAAAGCUCUUUCACCGAUGAAGAUAAUGACGGUAGUCGGAGAAGAAGCCCCGGCUAACUUCGUGCCAGCAGCCGCGGUAACAC